CGUAAUGCGCACGCAGGCGGUCUGUCAAGUCGGAUGUGAAAUCCCCGGGCUCAAUCUGGGAACUGCAUUCGAAACUGGCAGGCUGAGUCUUGUAGAGGGGGGUAGAAUUCCAGGUGUAGCGGUGAAAUGCGUAGAGAUUAUGGAGGAAUACCGGUGGCGAAGGCGGCCCCCUGGACAAAGACUGACGCUCAGGUGCGAAAGCGUGGGGAGCAAACAGGAUUAGAUACCCUGGUAGUCCACGCCGUAAACGAUGUCGAUUUGGAGGUUGUGCCCUUGAGGCGUGGCUUCCGGAGCUAACGCGUUAAAUCGACCGCAUGGGGAGUACGGCCGCAAGGUUAAAACUCAAAUGAAUUGACGGGGGCCCGCACAAGCGGUGGAGCAUGUGGUUUAAUUCGAUGCAACGCGAAGAACCUUACCUGGUCUUGACAUCAACAGAACUUAGCAGAGAUGCUUUGGUGCCUUCGGGAACUGUGAGACAGGUGCUGCAUGGCUGUCGUCAGCUCGUGUUGUGAAAUGUUGGGUUAAGUCCCGCAACGAGCGCAACCCUUAUCCUUUGUUGCCAGCGGUCCGGCCGGGAACUCAAAGGAGACUGCCAGUGAUAAACUGGAGGAAGGUGGGGAUGACGUCAAGUCAUCAUGGCCGUUACGACCAGGGUUACACACGUGCUACAAUGGCAUAUACAAAGAGAAGCGACCUCGCGAGAGCAAGCGGACCUCAUAAACCUUGUCGUAGUCCGGAUUGGA
rnacentral:rRNA from 1 species